GUUUUAUUGGAGAAGCUUACAUGUCUGGAAACACAUUUAUGAAUAUAUGCAGUUAGGAAGGCUGCCAAUUAUUCACACAUGAAUAAGCCGGUAUGCCUCCUCAAGAUGGGAACAAGAGGAAGAAACAGGCAUUAAAAAUUGGUCAUGGAGGAACUUUGGACAGUGCUGCCACUGGAGUUCUGGGAUGGAGUUUUUGAAAUUGGAAGAACAAUGAGAAGACCAGUAAAAAAAAAUCCAAACAGCUGCUAACUAUUGCUGUGAUUAAAAAAAAGUUUUUAAUGGGCAAGAUAAUGCAAAGACUGCAAUACUGAAGAUUGGAAAAAGUGGUUGGAAUUGGAAAAGGAACAAAAAUGUUGACCAGUAUGUUAUCAGGUUCCAAG